rnacentral:rRNA from 1 species
GCAUAUCAAUAAGCGGAGGAAAAGAAACUAACAAGGAUUCCCCUAGUAACGGCGAGCGAAGCGGGAAGAGCUCAAAUUUGAAAGCUGGCACCUUCGGUGUCCGCGUUGUAAUCUCGAGACGUGUUUUCCGUGUGGCGCUAUGGACAAGUCCCUUGGAACAGGGCAUCGUAGAGGGUGAAAAUCCCGUACUUGCCAUGGCUGUACCAUGCUUUGUGAUACACGCUCUAAGAGUCGAGUUGUUUGGGAUUGCAGCUCAAAAUGGGUGGUAGACUCCAUCUAAAGCUAAAUAUCGGGGAGAGACCGAUAGCGAACAAGUACCGUGAGGGAAAGAUGAAAAGCACUUUGGAAAGAGAGUUAAAAGUACGUGAAAUUGUCGAAAGGGAAGCGCUUGAAGUCAGCCAUGCUGCUUGAGACUCAGCCUUGCUUUUGCUUGGUGUAUUUCUCGGUAGCAAGCCAGCAUUGGUUCGAGUCGUCGGAGAAGGGUAUGAGAAAUGUGGCAUCCUCGGAUGUGUUAUAGACUUGUACUGGAUACGACGAUUUGGAUCAAGGAACGCAGUGUGCCUCUGGCGGGUCUUCGGACACCUUCACACUUAGGAUGCUGGCGUAAUGGCUUUAAGCGGCCCGUCUUGAAACACGGACC